rnacentral:rRNA from 1 species
UGCUACGGUGAAUACGUUCCCGGACCUUGUACACACCGCCCGUCAAGCCAUGGAAGCCGGGUGUACCUAAAGUCGGUAACCGUAAGGAGCCGCCUAGGGUAAAACUAGUAACUGGGGCU